rnacentral:tRNA from 1 species
AGGGAAAUAGCUCAAUGGUAGAGCGCAUGCUUAACAUACACAAGGUCCUGGGUUCAACUCCCAGUACCUUUA